AGUCUGGUGCCAGCAGCCGCGGUAAUUCCAGCUCUGAUAGUAUAUAUUAAAGUUGUUGCAGUUAAAAAGCUCGUAGUUGAAACUUGGGUGCGUAGGGGCGGUCUCUUUUAGAGUACUACCCUGAAACAUUUUUCUUUGGUGUAAACUUUCUAUUUAUUUAGGAAGUGUAAGCCAAACAUUUACUUUGAAAAAAUUAGAGUGUUCAAAGCAGGCCUUUGCUCGAAUAUUUUAGCAUGGAAUAAUAGAAUAGGACGUAUGGUUCUAUUUUGUUGGUUUCUAGGACCGUCGUAAUGAUUAAUAGGGACGGUCGGGGGCAUCAGUAUUCAGUUGUCAGAGGUGAAAUUCUUGGAUUUACUGAAGACUAACUACUGCGAAAGCAUUUGCCAAGGACGUUUUCAUUAAUCAAGAACGAAAGUUAGGGGAUCGAAGACGAUCAGAUACCGUCGUAGUCUUAACCGUAAACUAUGCCGACUAGGGAUCGGAGGGCGUUAUAAUAACCUCUCCGGCACCUUACGAGAAAUCAAAGUUUUUGGGUUCUGGGGGGAGUAUGGUUGCAAGGCUGAAACUUAAAGGAAUUGACGGAAGGGCACCACCAGGAGUGGAGCCUGCGGCUUAAUUUGACCCAACACGGGGAAACUCACCAGGUCCAGACACAAUAAGGAUUGACAGAUUGAGAGCUCUUUCAUGAUUUUGUGGGUGGUGGUGCAUGGCCGUUCUUAGUUGGUGGAGUGAUUUGUCUGCUUAAUUGCGAUAACGAACGGGACCUUAACCUGCUAAAUAGCUGUAACAAUAGAUUAUUGUUUUGACAGCUUCUUAGAGGGACUAUCGAUUUUCAAGUCGAUGGAGGUUUGAGGCAAUAACAGGUCUGUGAUGCCCUUAGACGUUCUGGGCCGCACGCGCGCUACACUGACGGAGCCAGCGAGUCUAACCUGUGCCGAGAGGUAUGGGUAAUCUUGUGAAACUCCGUCGUGCUGGGGAUAGAGCAUUGCAAUUAUUGCUCUUCAACGAGGAAUUCCUAGUAAGCGCAAGUCAUCAGCUUGCGUUGAUUACGUCCCUGCCCUUUGUACACACCGCCCGUCGCUACUACCGAUUGAAUGGCUUAAUGAGGCUUCCGGAUUGAUUAACUGGAGAGGGCAACUUUUCUGGUUGAACGAGAAGCUAGUCAAACUUGGUCAUUUAGA
rnacentral:rRNA from 1 species